rnacentral:rRNA from 1 species
UGGGAAAGAGAAGUGGAAAUCGAAAUCACAGAAGAUGAUGAAUUUCACAACUCCGACCUGUAUGAUUUCGUCCAUAGCAACAUACCGAAGAACACACAUGUGCUCAAAACGGUACCAAAUUGCAGCUUCUGCCAUGCAACAAAAUUCAAGAAUGAAACUAAGGGGCUAUGCUGCAGAAAAGGAAAGAUAAGACUAGCCAAUCCAGAUACACCACCUGAGCUCAAGAGACUUUGGACAAGCAACGACUCUGAUGCAAGACAUUUUCGGAACAAUAUAAGAUUUUUCAAUGGACACUUCUCGUUUACUACUUUAUACUGCAACCUUGAUAAAGAAACAACCGACAUACGAACAUCUGGUAUAUACACGUUUCGAGCACAUGGUCAAAUCUACCAUAAUAUACACUCAUUCGGUAACAGUCACUCAGAUCCAAAGCAUCUGGAGCUAUACUUCUACGAUGAUGAUCCAAGCUUGGAGCAUCGGUACCGCCGUUGCCGCGAGGAAAUGUACGAGCAAGACAAGCAGGUGAUUCGAAUAAUAACCGACAUUCUACGCGAUAACCCAUACUCUCAACAGUUUAGGAGUUUGGGACAAGCCCAGAACCUUGAGGACUACAGACUCAUAUUGAACCUUGACCAAAGAUUGGACCAGAGAACUUACAAUGCACCAAUCAAUUUAGAGGUAGCUGCAGUGUGGAUUGAAGGAAAUGAAAGAAGAGAUACUUAUGACAAGAGUGUAAUACUACAUGGGAACAACAACGAAAUAGAGCACAUUCGAUCAUAUUAUGGGUGUUAUGAUCCAUUGUCGUACCCUUUGUUCUUUCCAAGAGCUGAGCUGGGUUGGCAUAGGAAAAUCCCAAAGAAGGAUACACAAGAGGAAGGUAUUGAUGCUGAUGAUAUCAAUGAUGAUGAUGAACCAGAUUCAGUCAAUGGCCUGUGGGUAACGAUGAAAGAAUACUAUUGCUAUAAAUUGCAUACACGACCAAACAUAUUCAACCCAAUAUUGCAUGGCGGACGACUUUUCCAGCAGUUUGCUGUAGAUACAUACAUCAAGAUUGAAAGCUCUAGACUAGAUUACAUCUGGCAUCAUCAAAAGGAAAUAAGGGCAGAUCUAUAUCAAGGCCUUCUAGACAGCAUUCAAGCUGGAGAAGAAAAGGGAAACGCAGUCGGAAAACAGAGGGUACUUGCAUCAUCAUUUAUUGGAGGACCACGCGAUAAACUUCGCCGGUAUCUAGAUGCUAUGGCUUCAGUUAGAAAAUAUGGAAAGCCAGACAUAUUCCUCACAAUGACCUGCAACCCCAAUUGGGAUGAGAUCACACGUGAACUACAAUCCGGGCAAACACCACAAGAUCGCCCAGAUAUUGUAGUUCGUGUUUUCAGGGCGAAGCUAGAAGAAAUGAAGAAGCAACUAUUUCAGAAGGCCAUUCUCGGAAAGGUUAAGGCAUAUACAUAUGUUGUAGAAUUCCAAAAGAGGGGAUUGCCACAUGCUCACUUUUUGCUGAUCAUGACCGGAAAAUAUAAGUACACAUGUCCAGAACAGUAUGACAGAAUCAUCUCCGCUGAGCUCCCUAACAAGCACAAGUACCCAGAACUCUACAAAAUGGUAAUCAAACAUAUGAUGCAUGGUCCUUGUGGUGCAUUGAAUAAAUUAUGUCCAUGCACAAAGAAUCGUUCGUCAUGCAAGAACAAUUAUCCAAGGCCAUUUACCGAAACUACGAUUCAAGGCAAGGACUCCGACCCAAUAUAUAGGAGACGCAAUGACGGUCGGACUGAAACGGUCCGAAAUUGCAAACUGGAUAACAGGUGGGUGGUUCCUUACAACCCUUAUCUAUUAAGGAUGUUCAACUGCCACAUAAAUGUUGAGAUAUGCUCAAGCAUUAAAGCCGUUAAGUACCUAUUCAAGUACAUCUACAAGGGUCAUGAUCGAGCAUCUGUAUCUGUAACUGACAAAGCAAAUGAAGCCGAAAUCGACGAGAUUCAACAAUACCGAGACGCACGCUGGGUGACGCCACCAGAAGCACUGUGGAGAAUAUAUGGCUUUGAACUAAGCAAAAUGCACCCGCCAGUCUUGCAACUACAGCUGCAUCUCCCAAAUAUGCACAUGGUUUCAUAUCAUGGCAAAGAAAAAAAUAAAGAAUGUUAUCGACCGUGA